rnacentral:rRNA from 1 species
AGAGUUUGAUCCUGGCUCAGGGUGAACGCUGGCGGCGCGCUUAAUGCAUGCAAGUCGAACGUGCCUUCGGGCAAGUGGCAGACGGCUGAGUAACGCGUGAGUAACGUGCCCUCCGGUGGGGUAUAGCCUCGGGAAACUGAGAGUAAUCCCGCAUACGAUCCGGUGGCCUUGGUUGCCGGAUGAAAGCCUUCGGGCGCCGGAGGAGCGGCUCGCGUCCUAUCAGGUAGUUGGUGGGGUAAAAGCCCACCAAGCCGAUGACGGGUAGCUGGUCUGAGAGGACGAUCAGCCAGAGGGGGACUGAGACACGGCCCCCACUCCUACGGGAGGCAGCAGCAGGGAAUCUUGGGCAAUGGGCGAAAGCCUGACCCAGCGACGUCGCGUGGGGGACGAAGGCCUUCGGGUUGUAAACCCCUUUUCCGAGGGAAGAGAAAGGACGGUACCUCGGGAAUAAGCCCCGGCUAACUACGUGCCAGCAGCCGCGGUAAUACGUAGGGGGCAAGCGUUACCCGGAAUCACUGGGCGUAAAGUGCGCGUAGGCGGUUGGAUAAGUCUCUUGUGAAAGCUCCCGGCUCAACUGGGAGAGGUCAAGGGAUACUAUUUGACUAGAGGACAGCAGAGGUAAGCAGAAUUCCCGGUGUAGCGGUGGAAUGCGUAGAUAUCGGGAGGAACACCAGUGGCGAAAGCGGCUUACUGGGCUGUAUCUGACGCUGAGGCGCGAGAGCGUGGGGAGCAAACUGGAUUAGAUACCCAGGUAGUCCACGCCCUAAACGAUGGAUACUAGGUAUGGGGGGUAUUGACCCCCUCCGUGCCGUAGCUAACGCGUUAAGUAUCCCGCCUGGGGACUACGGCCGCAAGGCUAAAACUCAAAGGAAUUGACGGGGGCCCGCACAAGCGGUGGAGCGUGUGGUUUAAUUCGAUGCUAAGCGAAGAACCUUACCUGGGCUUGACAUGUUGGUAGUAGGAACCCGAAAGGGUAACGACCUCGGGGUAACUCGGGGAGCCUUCACAGGUGCUGCAUGGCUGUCGUCAGCUCGUG